AAAGGAGGGCACUACUACUCAUGCCAGGGGGAACUUGGUCAAUGGCACAAGGGAGAUGGGUGGCACCUGAUGAAGGCUUGGAAUAAGCAACUAUUUGCCAGACUGUAUCCCAGCCACUAUUUUUCCCUCAACGUCACUAAAUGCAAGGGAAUAAUGAAACCACAGGGUGCAAUCAAGCCUCCUCCACAGCCUCCUGAAGAAAUCACUCCUAAGACCUAAAUGGAAAAGCAGAUGUAAAAUGUAAAUCAACUCCCACACUCUGGCCUUCAUCUCUUCCCCGAAAAAAGAAUGGGAAAGGUUCAAGUGCUGGUUAUGGAAAACAGCAUCCAUUUAUGGAAGACAUCUCUAUUUAAAGCGGAGUGGCCCUAAUGGUUACUCAAUGCUUGAGUAACCAACAAGCUCUAGAGGGUUUGAAGGAAGGUGAUUCAGUCCUGGGAGUGGGAGCUGCACUUAAUAAAGCUACUAGUUAGGCAGAGUUUUUUAACUCAUUCCUUCACU
rnacentral:lncRNA from 1 species